CCUACGGUAGGCAGCAGUGAGGAAUAUUGGUCAAUGGACGAGAGUCUGAACCAGCCACGUAGCGUGAAGGAUGACUGCCCUAUGGGUUGUAAACUUCUUUUAUAAAGGAAUAAAACGAGGCACGUGUGCCUUUUUGCAUGUACUUUAUGAAUAAGGAUCGGCUAACUCCGUGCCAGCAGCCGCGGUAAUAUGGAGGAUCCGAGCGUUAUCCGGUUUUAUUGGGUUUAAAGGGAGCGUAGAUGGGUUGUUAAGUCAGUUGUGAAAGUUUGCGGCUCAACCGUAAAAUUGCAAUUGAUACUGGCAGUCUUGAGUACAGUUGAGGUAGGCGGAAUUCGGGGUGUAGCGGUGAAAUGCUUAGAUAUCACGAAGAACCCCGAUUGCGAAGGCAGCUUACUAAACUGUGACUGACAUUGAUGCUCGAAAGUGUGGGUAUCAAACAGGAUUAGAUACCCUGGUAGU
rnacentral:rRNA from 1 species